UACGUAGGCAGCGAGCGUUGUUCGGAAUUACUGGGCGUAAAGAGUGUGUAGGCGGUGUUCCCAGUCUGUUGUGAAAUCUCCCGGCUUAACUGGGAGGGUGCAGCGGAAACUAGAAUGCUAGAGGGUGGGAGAGGUAAGCGGAAUUCCUGGUGGUAGCGGUGAAAUGCGUAGAUAUCAGGAGGAACACCCGUGUGGUGAGUGAG
rnacentral:rRNA from 1 species